UUGAGCACUGAGCUGCCAGGAUAAGCUCCAGCUUCCUGCACCUCUGAACUGGAACAAGUUGCAAAUGUCCGUGAUCCUCAAGGAUACCAGUAUUAAAUGUGCUUGAAGUGUUAAAGAAAAUGGUGAAGUUUCUGCAGUUUGAUUAACUGACACCCUAAGGACAUGACCUCUUCAACUGUUGAAAUGCUAACUAUGCAAAGAAAGCUGUUUUAAAAAAUCAUUAGAUGCAUCGUGCUGUUGCGGUAUGUUAAAUUGUGAAGCAUAAAGAAUCAUUCCUGAAAGACAAGCGCCACGCUACCUCCGUACCCUCAUUGCAUAGUGUUUCUUUCUACUGAAUAAUUCAACUGCAG